rnacentral:lncRNA from 1 species
UGUUGGCUUGAAGAUCAUUUUCCAAGCUUGGAAGUUUUAUUCAAUGCUCUUUGAAAUCUUUUCCAUCCGCUUUUAUAUUGGACAACCUCGUUGUUAAUUAUUAUCCAUGAUGUAAUUUAUAUUUUCAAGUUACAAAUUUUGAUGAAUAUUGUUUUAUUUUUUUCCUCACUUCAAAAGAUGAAAAUCCUUGAUGUUAGUUAGAAAUAAAUUGGUUUUCUAGGAAGAGAUUAUUGAUUGGGAUAUAGU